AUACGGAGGGUGCAAGCGUUUUUCGGAAUCAUUGGGCGUAAAGCGCGUGUAGGCGGCUUGGUAAGUCGGAUGUGAAAUCCCGGGGCCCAACCCCGGAACUGCAUUCGAAACUGCCUCGCUAGAGUCCCGGAGAGGAAGGCGGAAUUCCCGGUGUAGAGGUGAAAUUCGUAGAUAUCGGGAGGAACACCAGUGGCGAAGGCGGCCUUCUGGACGGUGACUGACGCUGAGGUACGAAAGCGUGGGGAGCAAACAGGAUUAGAAACCCCAGUAGUCC
rnacentral:rRNA from 1 species